rnacentral:rRNA from 1 species
CAGCCGCCACGGUAAUACGUAGGGUGCGAGCGUUAAUCGGAAUUACUGGGCGUAAAGCGUGCGCGGGCGGUUGUGUAAGACAGGUGUGAAAUCCCCGGGCUUAACCUGGGAACUGCGCUUGUGACUGCACAGCUAGAGUAUGGCAGAGGGGGGUGGAAUUCCACGUGUAGCAGUGAGAUGCGUAGAGAUGUGGAGGAAUACCGAUGGCGAAGGCAGCCCCCUGGGCCAAUACUGACGCUGAGGAGCGAAAGCGUGGGGAGCGAACAGGAUUAGAUACCCCUGUAGUCCCUGUCUCUUAUAA